rnacentral:lncRNA from 10 species
UUUCUUAAUGGCAACCAGGGAAAAUAGACACUAAUACUGCCCCCACUGUAUACAAAAUUCAAGAUCUUUUAACAAUGCUAAAAGGAGCUAUUGUGUGCCUCACACCACUGUGAGUUAUACCAUAAAUAUUCAUUAAAACAGAAGUCUGGAAGCAUAUGCUGCUUUUACAAAUAAUGAGGCAGAAAGCAAUCAGAGGGCUGCUUAGAUGAGGUCACAGGGAGCAUACUGCACUGAGGAGGCAGAGGAGACAGGUCUUCCAAGGUAUCCUAAGGAAGUCACAGCUUGUGUCUUCUACCAUGUACAAACCAGAGGCUAAAGGACUUUGCAGUUUCACAGUUGGAAUCUGCAGCUUUUCUUAUGUGCAGCGGAGACUCGCAGUGUAUUUGGAGUAACUGCUGAGAACUCAAUGUAUGACAUCUCCUAAUUAAAGACCACCACCAAGUUAGGGAUCACUGGAAGCAGAAUUCCUGUGUAUCCUUUUUAUUUCUCACUGGACUCUGCACUUCUUGAGAACAGAAGUUUGUCCUCACUUUAUUUCUGUAUCUUCAAAACCUGCAUGCAGCGUGGGUAUACUAAAGUGUUUUCCUACAAAGUUAUCCUUAUACGUUGAUAUCUACCUUUAUUUUAUGCUCUUGUAUCAAAAUGAUUGUUAAUUUGUUUAUAAGAUUCACACUUCCAAAAACUCAUUAAUGCUUCUUUGUCUUUUUAUAGCAUAACACAUUUGGCAAGGAAUAG